GGGGACUCUACAUAGCUGUUAUAUUUUAUUACAAAGACAAUAUCUUAGUCACCAAUGAAGAUCAAAUACCGAUUGUUGAAAUAGACGACUCUCACACCAGCUCCAUUACACAAGAUUUUCUGUGGUUCACAAAGCUGUCUUGUAUGUGGGAAGAUAUAAGGUGGUUGAGGCAAAGCGUACCUACCUCCAUGUCUUCAUCCACAGUGCUGCAAACUCGGCAGAAGAUGCUCGCAGCAGCAGCCCAGCUACAGAAUUUACUUGGAACACACAACUUGGGAAGAGUUUACUAUGAGCCCAUUAAAGAUCGACAUGGAAAUAUACUCAUAGUCACCAUCAGGGAAGUGGAGAUGCUUUAUUCAUUUUUUAAUGGCAAAUGGAUGCAGAUCUCAAAGCUGCAAAGCCAGAGGAAGUCUCUAUCAACACCCGAGGAGCCAACAGCCUUAGACAUUUUACUGAUAACCA